rnacentral:rRNA from 1 species
AAUGAAGCGCCAUGGAGGGUGAGAGCCCCGUCCAUCCCGCACAGGAUCCAUUCGUACAAGGACGCUUCAACCGAGUCGGGUAGCUUGGGAAUGCUGCUCUAAUUGGUGGUAAAUCUCAUCAAAGGCUAAAUAGUGGUGGGAGACCGAUAGCGAACAAGUACCGUGAGGGAAAGAUGGAAAGAACUUUGAAAAGAGAGUGAAAAGCACUUGAAACCGUCACGGGGGAAGCGGAUUGCGUGAGUGAUGGUGUCGCUUGUUCAGCGCUUUAUUGCGUGCAUUCUGGCGGCGCCGUGCCGGCGUGGCUGGCUGGACUGUGAUUUUGACAGUCUCGGCUGGUGAGGGCUCCCUCGUAUGAGGUGAGGACGCGGGCAAAAUGACGCAAUACGACCCGUCUUGAAACACGGACCAAGGAGUCUAGCACGGCUGCGAGUCGAAGAGUGAUUAAACUCAAGGGCGCAGUGAAAGCGAAAUUAUAAGCAAAUUGGGGAGGCGUUGCGUUUUUAACAAAAUGUCCUACCUCGAGCAUUUGUGCUGGGACCCGAAAGAUGGUGAACUAUGCCGGAGUAGGGCAAAGCCAGAGGAAACUCUGGUGGAGGCUCGUAGCGAUGCUGACGUGCAAAUCGCUCGUCGAACUUGGGUAUAGGGGCGAAAGACUAAUCGAACCAUCUAGUAGCUGGUUCCCUCCGAAGUUUCUCUCAGGAUAGCGGGCCGACACGCGUUUGUUGUUUUGUGCGGUAAAGCGAAUGAUUAGUGCAUUUGGGGUACGAAGUACUUCGGGCGAUUCUCAAACUUUAAAUGCGCAAGGGGGUGGCUGCUUAAUUGAGCCUACUCUUUGAAAAACGUCGGCCCUGUGGGCCACUUUUGGUAAGC